AGAGUUUGAUCCUGGCUCAGGACGAACGCUGGCGGCGUGCUUAACACAUGCAAGUCGAACGGUAAGGCCCUUCGGGGUACACGAGUGGCGAACGGGUGAGUAACACGUGGGUGAUCUGCCCUGCACUUCGGGAUAAGCCCGGGAAACUGGGUCUAAUACCGGAUAGUACUGCGCGGUGCAUGCCGUGUGGUGGAAAGAUUUAUCGGUGCAGGAUGGGCCCGCGGCCUAUCAGCUUGUUGGUGGGGUAAUGGCCUACCAAGGCGACGACGGGUAGCCGGCCUGAGAGGGCGACCGGCCACACUGGGACUGAGACACGGCCCAGACUCCUACGGGAGGCAGCAGUGGGGAAUAUUGCACAAUGGGCGCAAGCCUGAUGCAGCGACGCCGCGUGAGGGAUGACGGCCUUCGGGUUGUAAACCUCUUUCAGCAGGGACGAAGCGCAAGUGACGGUACCUGCAGAAGAAGCACCGGCCAACUACGUG
rnacentral:rRNA from 1 species